rnacentral:rRNA from 1 species
AUUGAACGCUGGCGGCAGGCCUAACACAUGCAAGUCGAGCGAGCGGCGGACGGGUGAGUAAUGUCUGGGAAACUGCCUGAUGGAGGGGGAUAACUACUGGAAACGGUAGCUAAUACCGCAUACCAUCGGAUGUGCCCAGAAUGGAUUAGCUAGUCGGUGGGGUAACGGCCCACCUAGGCGACGAUCCCUAGCUGGACUGAGAGGAUGACCAGCCACACUGGAACUGAGACACGGUCCAGACUCCUACGGGAGGCCGCAGUGGGGAAUAUUGCGCAAUGGGCGCAAGCCUGAUGGAGCCAUGCCGCGUGUAUGAAGAAGGCCUUCGGGUUGUAAAGUACUUUCAGCGGUGAGGCGUUACCCGCUGAAGAAGCCCCGGCUAACUCCGUGCCAGCAGCCGCGGUAAUUC